GCGGCCUCCCCGAUUCCACUGGCUCUGCGUUCCGUCCGUCGCUCCCGACGUCACCCCUCCCCGCGCUGUCACAGGUUGACUUUUUCAUAGCCUCUUGCAAACUGUUGAAAAAGGGACCAGGCUGAAAACAAGAAAAUAAUUUCCGUGCAGAGAGCGGGGACCGUUCGCGAAGGACGGCGCCGUGUGACCGCAGCGGGCCAAGCACGCCUUCGCGACGGGGACGUGGGUGGCGUGGCGUCGUGCUACAGAGCGAGUUACUGUGAACGAUCCAAGACAGCGCUGGCGGGGCUCCGGACGCGGGCGGAGGAGCAGUGGAGGACCUGCUGGCUGGAAGGUGCCCGAGCGCCGCUGUCAGAGGAGUUCUCCAUCAGUUUGGCCACACACCUCUUCAAACGUCCAGGUCCGAGUUCCAG